rnacentral:rRNA from 1 species
UACAGAGGGUGCAAGCGUUAAUCGGAAUUACUGGGCGUAAAGCGUGCGUAGACGGUUACAUAAGUCGGGUGUGAAAGCCCCGGGCUCAACCUGGGAAUUGCAUUCGAGACUGCGUAGCUAGGGUGCGGAAGAGGGAAGCGGAAUUUCCGGUGUAGCGGUGAAAUGCGUAGAUAUCGGAAGGAACACCAGUGGCGAAAGCGGGUCUCUGGGCAUCUCCUGACGCUGAGGCGCGAAAGCGUGGGGAGCAAACGGG